rnacentral:rRNA from 1 species
CAGCAGCCGCGGUAACACGUAGGUGGCAAGCGUUGUCCGGAAUUAUUGGGCGUAAAGGGCUCGCAGGCGGUUUCUUAAGUCUGAUGUGAAAGCCCCCGGCUCAACCGGGGAGGGUCAUUGGAAACUGGGAAACUUGAGUGCAGAAGAGGGGAGUGGAAUUCCACGUGUAGCGGUGAAAUGCGUAGAGAUGUGGAGGAACACCAGUGGCGAAGGCGACUCUCUGGUCUGUAACUGACGCUGAGGAGCGAAAGCGUGGGGAGCGAACAGGAUUAGAGACCCGCGUAGUCCCUGUCUCUUAUAC